AGACAGCAGUAGCCACGGUAAUACAGAGGGUGCGAGCGUUAAUCGGAUUUACUGGGCGUAAAGCGUGCGUAGGCGGCUUUUUAAGUCGGAUGUGAAAUCCCUGAGCUUAACUUAGGAAUUGCAUUCGAUACUGGGAAGCUAGAGUAUGGGAGAGGAUGGUAGAAUUCCAGGUGUAGCGGUGAAAUGCGUAGAGAUCUGGAGGAAUACCGAUGGCGAAGGCAGCCAUCUGGCCUAAUACUGACGCUGAGGUACGAAAGCAUGGGGAGCAAACAGGAUUAGAUACCCCAGUAGUCCCUGUCUCUUAUAC
rnacentral:rRNA from 1 species